rfam:Microgenomates (Roizmanbacteria) bacterium GW2011_GWC2_37_13 TS40_C0012, whole genome shotgun sequence.
GGAGUCAUAGCUCAAUUGGCUAGAGCACUUCCCUGUCACGGAAGGGGUUGGGGGUUCGAGUCCCCUUGGCUCCG